UACGUAGGGGGCGAGCGUUGUCCGGAGUUAUUGGGCGUAAAGAGCUCGUAGGCGGUCUGUUGCGUCUGCUGUGAAAACUCGGGGCUUAACCCCGAGCCUGCAGUGGAUACGGGCAGACUAGAGGUAGGUAGGGGAGAAUGGAAUUCCCGGUGUAGCGGUGAAAUGCGCAGAUAUCGGGAGGAACACCGGUGGCGAAGGCGGUUCUCUGGGCCUUACCUGACGCUGAGGAGCGAAAGCGUGGGGAGCGAACAGG
rnacentral:rRNA from 1 species